GGCAGGCUGGGGGGGGCGUGUCUUGUGUGUGGAGUGUGCCCAGCCGCCCACGUGGUGGUCCAGGCCCACCUAGGUCUUUCUUGAUGGUGGUGGUCAGUGAGCCGUCGGGGUAGGUGGCAGAGCAGGAGAAAGUCUGUCCGCUGUUCCAGGGGUCGGCACAGCCCGGCAGGACGCUGGACACGCUGUAGCAGCCGCAGGAGUCGCGCUCGGGCAGCCCCUGGACGGCGGUCUUCCCGCCUGUCGGGCUCCAGGUGAAGCUGGCGCCCUCGGCGCUUUUCAGGCCACGCAGUGUGCACGUGAGGCUGGCGUUGGAGCUCAGGAGCAGAUCCUCGAGGGCUGGAGGCUGCAGGGACAGGCUGGGCUCGCAGUUCAAUGGGAGACACUCCUCAGGACAACCUUUACAUUUGCAGGGCACGUCCACGGUCUUGCUGGCUUUGGAGAGGUGCUGCACUUGGCAGGUCACGAACUUGUUUUCUGGGCACAGGCUGGCUGGCAAGGUCAGCUGGCUGCUCAUGGUGUACAGGCUCCCGGCCAGCACGGCGGGGAAGUUCCUGACGGACACAUUGUCACCACUCUGGUUCCAGGUCACGCUCAGAGGUGCUGAUGGGAAGAAGCCCUGGACCAGGCAGCCGAUGACCACCUGCCCGGCUGGGUCGUCCUUCCCAAGGCUCAGUGGGAAGAUGCUGGGGCUGGCUUCACUCUCUGAGGAGACAGUGAAGUGGGCAGUGAGGGGCAGGGAGGGACUCUGCGGGGACCCUGGGGACAGAGAGGGGGCCCGAGGGCCCAGCAGGGUGGACCCCCACCUUGAAGAGGGUCACGGUGGCGCUGUAGCAGACGCUGAGCAGGAAGAGCGUGAUGAAGAUGGAGAUAGUCGUCCAGAGCCCGUCCAGCUCCCCGUCCAGGUCGUCCGCACAGCUCUCCUCCUCCAGCAGCAGAUCUGCACAGGGAGGGGGGUCAGUGCUGUGUCUGCCCACGGGGGGCUGGGCAGGGCCAUCGGGGCUUCGGGGCAGGACUCCCUCUGCGGCGGGGGGGAUGGCGGUGUGAUCCCCCAUGGGCCGGGCAGGGGUCACCUGAGGUCAGUCUCUGGGCCCCAGCCCCAGCCCUCCAGCCCUGGCCACUGUCUGGGCCUGGCCUGUGGGGUCCUGCUCCCAUCCUGAGCUGUGCCCUGAGCUGGGGCCCUGACCCCACCUCCCCGCAGGACAGAGGCUCAAUUCCUGGCCUCCUCUGCCCUGGGGGCCAGGCCUGGAGCCGGGAGGCUCAGCAGAGCACACGUGCCUGGGCUCUGUCCCCGGGAGGGAGGGCAGACAGUGCCGGGCUGUGUCCCUGUGUCCCUGUGCCCGAGGGGUGAGGGUGCCAGGACGAGGGGCUGAGGGGGGGUCUCAGCCUGCGAGGGAGGGGCGUGGGUGCCCCAGGGGAGGCGAGGAAGGAUGUCUGACCUGGUCAGUGUGGUCAGUGUGGGAAAGGGCCGCUGAGCAGCCCAAGGGCGCUGGAGGAUGGGGACCAGCUGAUGUCCACAGGGAGGGCUCAUGAGACCCAGCUCUGGGUCUGGGCCCGUGGGAUCACUCCAUGGGUCCCGGAGCGUGAGACCUGAGUGUGUGCAGGCAUGUGGGUGUGUGACGGGGGUGAAGCAUGCUUGUGUGCGGGUGGACGCCUGAGUGCGUGUGGAGGACGCUGGGUGUGGGCUGUCUCGUGUGCGUGCGGGGCUGGGGCUUGGUGUCUGGGGCUCUGGGCUCAGUGUCCCCAGGGAGCAGCUAGGUCCCUGCCCUGGACGUUCAGGGCUCCCAGCCUGGGCCCUUUUCAGGCACAGGGACGACCUCCCCAUGGGCACACAGGCUUGGCCCCGGGCAGAGAGAGCCAGGCAGAGCUACUGGCCGACGAGGACGACGCCUGACCUCGGGAGCCUGAGGGUGAAGCAGGGCCACUCCCCGGGCCAGUCUGGCUCCAGGCAGGCGCAGAGUGGACACACGGACUCUGGGCACCCAGGAACAGGGGCCUGGGGACAAGGCCGCGGCCCUGCCCCUCAGCGUGGGCUGGAGCAGAGGCGGGAAGCGUUGGGCCUCAAUCCCUGAGGUGUCGGGGGCUUCCCCCGUUCCUGCCCAGAGUCUGGCCCAGAAUGUGGUGGCGGGGGGGGGCCGUGGAGCUGCGCCUCUGGCCAAGCCCCUCCGAGGCCUCGGGCAGCCCCCAGGUGCCCUGCCGGACCCACUCACUGUGUGUCUGGCCCGGAGAGGGGUCAGCGCCCCCACAGAUGCUGAACCAAGCGGCCCAGAGUGGGCUCAGCCCACCCCCCGCAGGCCUGGCGGUCACCAGGGCUCUGCCUCGGAAAGAACAAGCACAGCGUUGCAGGGUCCCAGGGCGGCCUGGGUGCUUUAUUCAUGGCGGCCCAGGAGGCAUGCACACAGGGAGGGGCUAGGGCGUCCUGGCUGGACCUGGAGCCCGGGGAGGGCGGGCUGGGUGAGGGCUUGCUGGUGCGGGGGCAUGUGGCUCAUUUACCCGGAGGCUUAGAGAUCGACUUCUGUGUGUAGUGGUUGUGCAGAGCCUCGUGCAUCACCACACACGCGUAGGUGUCUCCUUCUUGCCAGCUGUUCUUGUCCACCCUGAGCCUGCUGUACAGGAAGUAGGAGCCGUCGGCGUCCAGCUGGGAUGUGGUCGUGCCGUACUUGUCCUCCGACUCAGGCUGCCCAUUUUUCUGCCACUCCACGGCGAUGUAGUCUGGGUAGAAGCCGGUGACCAGGCAGGUGACGCUGAGCGUGCUUUUGCUGAGCUCUUCCUGGGGUGGGGCCAGGACGUACACCUGCGGCUCCCGGGCCUGCCCUGUGGGGACAGACAAGCCUGUUAGCACAGGAAUCACUCUGAUUGGCUCACGGGACCCUCCUGGGCCCGCCCACCUGGCCCACCUUUGGUCCUGGAGAUGGUCCUCACGAUGGGGGCCGGGAGGCCUUUGUUGUGGACCUUGCACUUGAUCUCCUUGCCCCGCAGCCAGUCUUGGUGCUGGAUGGGCAGGGCGCUGACCACGCGGAAGGUGCUGUUGAACUGCUCCUCUCUCGGCUUUGUCCUGGCCGUGCGCACCUCCACGUUGUCCACGAACCAGGAGAACUGCACCUCGGGGUCAUCCUGGCCCACGUCCACCACCACACACGUGACCUCGGGCGUUCCAGAGAUUGUAAGGGUGUCCUUGGGUUUCGGUGGGAAGAUGAAGACAGACAGUCCUCCCAGAGGUUCUGUGGCUGGUGAGAAAGCACGGUGGGGGUUCUGCACUUGGGAAACCUCCUUGGGUGUGCGUUCUCCACCCGGCUGCCCGUGAGCGCUGUCUGCCACUGUCAGACAGCGGGUGACGCCAGCUGACUUACCUGGGCAUUUGGGACACUGGCAGGGUUUCUGUUCACCUUUGGGCUCUGCAGAGAGAGCAGACUGGGAUUACCAGGGCAGGAAGCCAAGGACUGGGCUUAGGGGAGGGACACGUUUUAGUAGCCGAGCCCAGGGCCUGCCUCUGUGGGGCCAGGAGCCGAGGUGUCAUCCAGCCUGCAGCAGCCUGGAUGUUGUGGAAACUCCAGACGACCCCUCCCCAAGCCUGCGAGACCUUCAGGAGAGAGACAGACAGGGCCUCCCCUGACACGCUGGGCCUGGUUCCCAGCACCCCUGGGGUGAGGCCCCUGCAGGCGGGAGUGUGGGGCUCACAUACCCUGGGUCGUGGGUCUUACAGUACGGAUAGGUGACCCUGGCGUUGUCUGCAGGACCCGAGGCCUUGCAGUGACAGGCUUGUCCACCUUGGUGCUGCUGGCCGGGUGGGCUACGUUGCAGAUGAAGGUCUGGGCUCCUGAGGUGCUGGCCGGCACGGUCACCACGCUGCUGAGAGAGUAGAGCCCGGAGGACUGCAGGAUGGCCGGGAAGGUGCGCACGCCGCUGGUCAGGGCACCCGAGUUCCAGGUCACGGUCACUGGCUCGGGCAUAUAGCUGGAGACCAGGCAGCCCAGGGUCACGGUGGAGCUGGACGUGUCCCCGCAGCUGGAUGCCAGAGGGUAGACUUUCGGGGGUGUGGUGGAGGCUGUGAGAGAGGAGGCUGGGUGAAUGCAGGGUCCAGCAGGACCUCAGGUGCCCAGGCCUGGGGCACCUCUGAGCCCAGCCACCAUCUGCUUCCAGGGUCUGACGACUGCCCGGCAUAGUGGCCACCCAGCUCUGUGCGCUGCAGCUGGGAUGUCUGGACACAGCUUGGGUCGGUGAGUGUGGCCUCCUGGAUUAGAGCCCAGGGCUGCUUCCCUCCUCUGGGUGCCUGGCCCUUCCCGUGGCCCCUGCUCCCUCAGCCUGGAGGAGCCUGUCCCCCUCAUCCUGCUCUGCCCCCAGCCCCCGUCUGGCCUGGCCUCAGCCCUGCAGGCCGGGGACUUUGGGGCCAGCUCUGCACAGGCGCUCUGGGCUCACGUCCCAGCCCUGAUCCUGGACCCUGUCUCUGAGUUCUCUUCCUUGAUUGUCCCCUCCCAACCCUGGUCCCACCAGGCUCCCAAAGGUGUGUCUCUGGCCCCGUCCCUCACCUGGUUCCCCUGAUUGGCCCUCAGCCCCUGCUCCAGACUCCUGGCUGCCCGGCUCCUCCUCACCAGACCCUCCAGGCCCUGAUCUUCCUGGGUGCACCCCGCGCUCAGCACUGUGGGGGCCUUGCUUGGGCCCUGCCUGCACCUCCAGCACCAGGUGGCUCCACGGGCCCCAGCCCGUCUAACCGGGCUGUCCCUAGAGCCUGGUCAGCUCCGUGGGCCUGCAGCCUCAUCUGAGACCUCGAGGAAGAGCCUGGUCAGCUCCCCGGGCCCCUGCCCGUCUGAGACCUCGAGGAAGAGCCUCAUGUAGUCCCAGCCUUGUCCGCUGUCUUGGCAGCUGCCCCUUGCCUUGGCCGACCCCCAUCCACCCUGAGUCCCCAGAGAUGGCUGCAACACAAUGGGAACCCUGGGCCUGUGAAUGGAGGCCACCUGCUCUCCCACUUGUGGAGAGCCCUCCCACUUCAGGCCAGAGCAUCCUUCAUUUUCCUCUGCACUUGGCCUUGCUAUCCCCGACCCU
rnacentral:lncRNA from 1 species